UGCAAAAGUUGUACUGCAAGUUCCUGGAUGCCCCCAAUCCAGUUUUCCCUAAAGCUAAUGUCUUACAUCACCAGGGGACAAGGACCAAAGCAGGACAGCCCAGGUCUCUGGGCCGAUGUCACUUCUUACCCCUGAUCUGUGUUUUAUUGACCUGGACCAUCUGACAGUGGAGAGGAGGGCCCAUCCAGAGAGGCCAUUGCCCCCCAAAAUCCACAGGAAACAGACCCUCACCACCAAACUCCUUUGCUUUCCACUGUGUGAACAGAGGGCCAGUGGGGAUAGUACCAGGGCAUCAACACCCGAGGACAGCGGACACAACCUCCCGGACCUACAGAUGGAGGAAAGGUCAGCAUGACUGGCAACCCCACCAGGGUCCACACAGGAAGACGGACUGCGCUGGACGCCUGCGCCAGGAGACGG